rnacentral:lncRNA from 1 species
AUGCUACGGUAUACUAUACACUACUAUAUUAUACACCCCUAUACUAUACACUACUAUACACUUCUAUAUUAUACACUACUAUAUUAUACACUCCUCUACUAUACACUUCUAUACUAUACACUACUAUACUAUAUGCCACGGUAUGCUAUACACUCCUAUACUAUACAGUACUAUAUUAUACACUCCUAUACUAUACACUACUAUACACUUCUAUACUAUACACUACUAUAUUAUACACUCCUAUACUAUACACUACUAUACACUUCUAUACUAUACACUUCUAUACUAUACACUACUAUACACUUCUAUACUAUACACUACUAUACUAUAUGCCACUGUAUGCUAUACACUUCUAUAUUAUACACUCCUAUACUAUACACUACUAUACACUUCUAUACUAUACACUCCUAUACUAUACACUUCUAUGCUAUACACUACUAUACUAUAUGCCACUGUAUGCUAUACACUCCUAUACUAUACACUACUAUACUAUACACUCCUAUACUAUACACUACUAUACUAUACACUACUAUACUAUACACUUCUAUACUAUACACUACUAUAUUAUACACUACCAUACUAUACACUUCUAUACUAUACACUACUAUACACUUCUAUACUAUACACUACUAUACUAUAUGCCACUGUAUGCUAUACACUUCUAUAUUAUACACUCCUAUACUAUACACUACUAUACACUUCUAUACUAUACACUCCUAUACUAUACACUUCUAUGCUAUACACUACUAUACUAUAUGCCACUGUAUGCUAUACACUCCUAUACUAUACACUACUAUACUAUACACUCCUAUACUAUACACUACUAUACUAUACACUACUAUACUAUACACUUCUAUACUAUACACUACUAUAUUAUACACUACCAUACUAUACACUUCUAUACUAUACACUACUAUACACUUCUAUACUAUACACUACUAUACUAUAUGCCACUGUAUGCUAUACACUUCUAUAUUAUACACUCCUAUACUAUACACUACUAUACACUUCUAUACUAUACACUCCUAUACUAUACACUUCUAUGCUAUACACUACUAUACUAUAUGCCACUGUAUGCUAUACACUCCUAUACUAUACACUACUAUACUAUACACUCCUAUACUAUACACUACUAUACUAUACACUACUAUACUAUACACUACUAUACUAUACACUCCUAUACUAUACACUUCUAUGCUAUACACUACUAUACUAUAUGCCACUGUAUGCUAUACACUCCUAUACUAUACACUACUAUACUAUACACUACUAUACUAUACACUACUAUACUAUACACUACUAUACUAUACACUUCUAUACUAUACACUUCUAUUAUAUACACUACUAUACACUUCUAUACUAUACACUACUAUACUAUACACUACUAUACACUUCUAUACUAUACACUACUAUACUAUACACUACUAUACACUUCUAUACUAUACACUUCUAUACUAUACACUUCUAUACUAUACACUACUAUACACUUCUAUACUAUACACUACUAUACUAUAUGCCACUGUAUGCUAUACACUUCUAUAUUAUACACUCCUAUACUAUACACUACUAUACACUUCUAUACUAUACACUACUAUAUUAUACACUCCUAUACUAUACACUACUAUACACUUCUAUACUAUACACUCCUAUACUAUACACUACUAUACACUUCUAUGCUAUACACUACUAUACUAUAUGCCACUGUAUGCUAUACACUCCUAUACUAUACACUACUAUACUAUACACUCCUAUACUAUACACUACUAUACUAUACACUACUAUACUAUACACUUCUAUAUUAUACACUACCAAAGUAUACACUUCUAUACUAUACACACCGAUACAAUACACUCCUAUACUAUACACUACUAUACUAUACACUACUAUACUAUAGACACCGAUACAAUACACUCCUAUACCAUACACUACUAA